rnacentral:rRNA from 1 species
AGUAGCCACGGGAAUACGAAGGGUGCAAGCGUUAAUCGGAAUUACUGGGCGUAAAGCGUGCGUAGGCGGUUUGUUAAGUCUGUUGUGAAAUCCCCGGGCUCAACCUGGGAAUGGCAAUGGAUACUGGCAAGCUAGAGUGUGUCAGAGGAUGGUGGAAUUCCCGGUGUAGCGGUGAAAUGCGUAGAGAUCGGGAGGAACACCAGUGGCGAAGGCGGCCAUCUGGGACAACAUUGACGCUGAGGCACGAAAGCGUGGGGAGCAAACAGGAUUAGAUACCCCAGUAGUCCCUGUCUCUUAUACA